UACGGGGGGGGGCAAGCGUUGUUCGGAAUUACUGGGCGUAAAGGGCUCGUAGGCGGCCAACUAAGUCGGAUGUGAAAUCCCCAGGCUUAACCUGGGAACUGCAUCCGAUACUGGAUGGCUUGAAUCCGGGAGAGGGAUGCAGAAUUCCAGGUGUAGCGGUGAAAUGCGUAGAUAUCUGGAGGAAUACCGGUGGCGAAGGCGGCAUCCUGGACCGGCAUUGACGCUGAGACACGAAAGCGUGGGGAGCAAACAGG
rnacentral:rRNA from 1 species